rnacentral:rRNA from 1 species
UAGGGAAUCUUCGGCAAUGGGGGGAACCCUGACCGAGCAACGCCGCGUGAGUGAAGAAGGUUUUCGGAUCGUAAAGCCCUGUUGUUAAGGAAGAACGAGUGUGAGAAUGGAAAGUUCAUGCUGUGACGGUACUUAACCAGAAAGGGACGGCUAACUACGUGCCAGCAGCCGCGGUAAUACGUAGGUCCCGAGCGUUGUCCGGAUUUAUUGGGCGUAAAGCGAGCGCAGGCGGUUGGAAAAGUCUGAAGUGAAAGGCAGUGGCUCAACCAUUGUAGGCUUUGGAAACUGUUUAACUUGAGUGCAGAAGGGGAGAGUGGAAUUCCAUGUGUAGCGGUGAAAUGCGUAGAUAUAUGGAGGAACACCGGUGGCGAAAGCGGCUCUCUGGUCUGUAACUGACGCUGAGGCUCGAAAGCGUGGGGAGCGAACAGG